UACGAAGGGGGCUAGCGUUGUUCGGAAUUACUGGGCGUAAAGCGCGCGCAGGCGGUCUUCCAAGUCAGUGGUGAAAGCCUGGAGCUCAACUCCAGAACUGCCAUUGAAACUGUUAGACUUGAGUACGAGAGAGGUGAGUGGAAUUCCCAGCGUAGAGGUGAAAUUCGUAGAUAUUGGGAAGAACACCGGUGGCGAAGGCGGCUCACUGGCUCGUAACUGACGCUGAGGUACGAAAGCGUGGGGAGCAAACAGGG
rnacentral:rRNA from 1 species